rnacentral:lncRNA from 1 species
GAGCUCGGGAGCGGGGACCGGUAGCCGACUGCCUCUGGGACAGCGGUGGCGUCUCUGUGCCCGUUUAGUGGAGUUGGAGGGAAGCUGCGAGGAGGCGCAGGAAGUCCACCUCAGAACCCCCCCCCCGGUCUAGGGGCGCCCGGGCGUUGGAACCGGCGGGGGAAGGGUGCGGGGGCGCAUGGGGUGAUCCUGAUUCGGCUCCCAUUUUCCCGAACGGGCACCCUGAGGCUCCUGGCCCGGGGCAUGGUGUUAGAAAUCAUAGCUGCGGAGAAGCCCUUGUGACACCUUGCUGCAGAUUGGGAAGCUGCAGAUGAUUGGGAAGGUGGAAGGUGGAGACGCGGUCCUUAGGUGGUCGAGCGCAUUUUCUCUUCCUCAGAGUCCAGGAAGGAGCGCGAUGGAGAAGUGGGGCGCACGGCGGGUUUCGGGUCCGCCCCUGCCCUUCCGACUCCUCCGACCACGUCUGCCUUUGGCUGAAAGCAAAUAUGGCUCCGUGUGCGGUUUCUGCAACAAAGGCUGGGCGGGCCGGGUUUCCCUAGGGAUGGGGACCGCCUCCCCGGGGAGUCGUGGGGGUGAGCCACCGGGGCCUCCGAGAGAAUCGCUGGUGUCGCUUCGCACCCAAGGGACACAUCUCGGGUUAGAAAGGAGAAACGACGUGGAUCUAAAGGCGAAGCCCAUGCUGAGGACUUUUCAAAAUGGCCUCUUAUCGGCCCCACUCACAGGAGCUUCAGGCUUCGGUGGCCCUGUAGGACAACCCUGGGGUGUCAUUGGAGAGAAGCUGACGGGGUUAAUGGCGGGUGACAGGUGAAAGAGACCCCGGAGGGGUGGGGCCGGUGUGUGUGGCUAAGCUGAGUCCCAGGCACAGGGUGGAUGUGAAUUUAUGGGUGGCAGAGCUAGAGCUAGGCCCUGCCCUUACCUAGGUCCUGGCUUCGAGGUCCACUGUUCUGUCGCGUCUUUUGACGCAUCGGUGGAAGAACUGAAUUUCAGGAUGCUCACAAACCUGCAGCUGGAAGCUAGACUUCCAAACCUUAGUUUAAAAAAGCAACUCUACUGAAAUACUAAAAUAAAUUGCCGACGGAAUUAGGGUGAUUUCUUGUUCACGGUUUCAUUUAAAAAUGCACCUAUGUUAUUUACAGGAAAAACGUUUUAGUGGUGCUAGAGCUACAAGAAUAAGGUAAACAGAAGGAUGCUGCUAGACCAGGAGUACCUUACCCAGUCUGGGAUAGGAGGAGGUCGGGGAAGCCCUCCCUAAGCAAGACACGUGAGCUGAGUUUGAAGAAAAAGUUAAAAGGAAGGUGAAGUGCGGGAGAGAAACAGGGAAGGGAAUUUGGAGCAGAGUGAACAGCAUAUGCAAAGGUGUGGAAAUGUGGAAAUGCAUGGCCUGUUAAAGCUGCCUUAAGAAAAUAUGUUGCCUGGGGCUGGGCGCGGUGGCUCAUGCCUGUAAUCCCAGCAUUUUGGGAGGCCGAGGCGGGCGGAUCACUUGAGGUCGGAGUUGGAGAUCAGCCUGGCUAACUAACAUGGCUAAACCCUUCUCUACUGAAAAUACAAAAAUUAGCCGGGCGUGGUGGCAUGCGCCUGUAAUCCUAGCUAUUCUGGAGGCUGAGGCAGGAGAAUCGCUUGAACCUGGGAGGCGGAGGUUGCAGUGAGCCGAGAUCGCGCCUUUGCACUCCAGCCUGGAAGACAAAACAAAACUCCGUCUC